rnacentral:lncRNA from 10 species
CCGCGCUCCUACUUCCGGGGCGGCUGGUUCUUCCCGUCCUCCCCACCCCGGGGACACGCUUCUAGUAGGCCAAACUCCCAGGUGACCCCCGCAAGAAACGCGGUCCGGAGAGGGUCUGGCCCCACUGCUGGGGCAAGGGCUCUAGGCGCCCGGACCCCACGCCCGCAGCCUGCGGAGAACGUGCCGACAAGGACCUGUAGGGCCCCACUCCCCCUCCUCCCUCCCUCGGCGCAGCCCGGCCCAGGGGUCUGUCCUCCCAGGCCCAGGAAAGGAGGAAACCCACUUCCGCCGCGUCCAUGAUCUCCCGCGGCUUCUCCUGACUCUUGCGGCUGGCGCUGGCGCUGGGCAUCGGGACACGGAACUGGGCAGUGGACACCACCCUCCCUCGCAGGCUUCCAGUGUUCUUUCUUGGAACCAUCUGCCAAGCUGUGAGGAAGCUCCAGAGCCAUAUGACAAGACCUGAUGGAGGAUAACUGAGGACUUUGGCCAACAACCCCAGCUGAGCUCCAGUUGGAAUGUGAAUGAGGCCAUUUUGAGUGUUCCAGCCUAUUGGAGCCCUAGCCAACACUCUACAAACUAGAACUGCCUGAUUGACCCGCAGAAUCAUAAGAAAUAAAGUAAUUUGAAGGCCUUCCCUGACUUAAAGUGGAUGCUGCUUUGGAAAGCACUGGAAAAAUGGAUCCUGUCUUUCUUAGCCAAGGACUGGUCUCUUUUCUCCAAUGUGUCCCUAACAGAGUGGUGAGGCUGGCUCUUCCCACCAGUACAGGAAGAUCAUUCCUUAAAAGAAAUAGCCAUAUGGCUUAUAAGGGACUAUAUCUUAAGACUAUGUGUCUUCUGCAGUUCUUUGCAUAGAGUCAACGUUGAAGGACAAGCAACUUCAAAUUUCCAAGCAACAAAAUUAUGUUCGGGUGGUUUUCUGAAAGCGAGAUCUUAAGAACCACCUGUAUCAGAAUCCCAUGAAGAGCUUGUUUAGUGUGCAAAUUUACAGAUUGUCCCCCCUCAGAAAUGCUCAUUUAGGAGUUCCUGUCCUUUGCGGGGACAUGGAUGAAGCUGGAAACCAUCAUUCUCAGCAAACUAACACAGGAACAGAAAACCAAACACUGCAUGUUCUCACUCAAAAGUGGGAGUUGAACAAUGAGAACACAUGGACACAGGGAGGGGAACGUCACACACCAGGGCCUGUCGGGGGUGGGAGGUAAGGGGAGGGAGAGGAUUAGGACAAAUACCUAAUGCAUGUGGGGCUUAAAACCUAGAUGAUGGGUUGAUAGGUGCAGCAAACCACCAUGGACAUGUAUACCUAUGUAACAAACUUGCAUGUUCAGUACAUGUAUCCCAGAACUUAAAGUAAAAUAUAAAACAAUAAUAAAAAGGAAAUGCUCAUUCAGGAGUUUUGGGGUGGGGGUUCAGGAGGCUGCAGCCUUAACAAUUACCUCUGGUGAUUUUGACACAGGUAGCACAGCAGCCAAACUUGGAGAGAUUUGUUCACAGCACUGCAUCACCAACCUUACUUUCUGUUAGGCCUUUAAUCACUUUUUUUUUUUUUUUUUUUUUUUUUUUCUGAGACAGGGUCUUGCUCUAUCACCCAGGCUGGAGUACAGUGGCACGAUCUUGGCUCACUGCAAUCUCUGUAUCCUGGGUUCAAGCAAUCCUCUCUGCCUUGGCCUCCUGAGUAGCUGGGACCACAGACAUGCUCCAUUAUGCCCAACUAAUUAAAAACAUUUUUUUUAGAGGCAGGCUGGUCUCGAACUCCUGAGCUCAAGCAAUCUGCCUGCCUCGGCCUCCCAAAGUGCUGGGAUUACAGGUGUGAGCCACUGCGCCCGGCCUUUUAAUCACUUUUAAACCAGCAACCCUAAUCUGCCUGUCCCUUGAAUGGAUCCGGAUAAAGGUGUGGCAAACAAGCCUCCUGUCACAGUGGGGUGUGACAGUCACGGCAUCACCCCUUCACCACAUCAUGUGCUGCCAGUCAUCACUUCUGCUGUUGCCACCAACCCUUGCGUUUCCCUUUGUCACUUCCCCCUUGCCACCACCAACGGCCACUGUCCCUCUGCUCCUCACCCUCCAUAGCUGAGUCAGAUCCAGCAUUGGGCACUUGAGGAAGAAGCCACUGUGGAAGGCGGGAUGAGGGUGUUCCCAUUCUACAUUCACAAGCCCACAGCUUGGAGAAGAAGCACACCUAAUUCUGACCCUGGCUUCUGAAGAAGCUCUGCAAACCUGGCUAGAAAGUUGGGCCUGUGGUUUGAGGUUCCUGCUGCCUUUGAUUUUACAAUGAGUGGAAAUUGAGGUUGAGUAACAGGUCUCUUGCCCAAGUAUUAAGGGCCACCACGAAGCAUACAGCAAUGAAGGCAGGAGCUGAUGACAUGUGGUUGGUUCCCCCCUCUAGGCCAAGUAUCUUUGUAUAGGGAAGGCCGACAUGGCCAUCUUCACGGUUUGGUAUUAGUGGAGUGUCUUAUACAUACUGAAAUUUGUUUUUGUUUUCAGGUGCUAAAAGGAUAAUACCAAGGAAAACUAUGGGUGGGGGCAGUGAAUGGCCAGCAUGCCUAUAAUCCCAGCACUUGAAGCCAGGAGUUCGAGACCAGCCUGGGAAACAAAGCAAGACCCUGUGUCUAAAAAAAUUUUUUUAAAAAUAAGCUGGGCAUGGUGGCACGUGCCUAUAGUCCCAGCUACUCAGCUACUCGGGAGACCAAGCUCUGUUUCUGGCAGGAAUCUGACACCACUUACUCCUUGGGUAGAAACUCCCCCAAGUCUGAACUAUGUGAUUGCCUGAGCCCUGCUUCUUGUUCAUUAAGACUGCUCCUCUGAAACGGAAUUGAUGAAUUUUUAGUGGCUAUUAGAAGCAUUUGGGAUCCAUAGGCAUCAGGGUUUGAUGCAUGGCCCUCAUCUCUGUGGGCUCCUGUGCAAUGAUUCUCAUCUGUCUUAGUUAGAAAGUGAAUUAAUCUUGACCUUGGCCUCAGGGGUGUGGUUCUCUGCCCUCUUACACAUCUUCAAUUCGCUUCUUUAUCAGAAGCACUUGUUUUAGGCCCAGGCUCCCCCAAUUUUAAUGACAUUUAGACAUUUGUCUUUAAGUUACAUUGCUUUGAUUUUAAUCAAAAUCUAUAUUUCUAGUAUUAUAUGUUUCCAGAAAGUUCUCAUUCUGGAUUGUAAUUUAAUUACAUGGAUCAUUAAAGCUUUGAAGGAUGCUAAUGGGCAGAAAAAAGAGACUUAACAAAACGAAAGUUAUUAUUAGGAAUUACAAAUCACUUAACAUUUCAACAUCACUCGUCGGAUGUGGGCAUUUUGUUGAAAGAGACCUUGUUUUGAACAGUGACAGUGCAGAAGACCUAUGGAAGAAACAAGCUUCCAACUUGAUUUCUAUUGUUAUGCAUGCAUAGCAAAUUAUUAAUUCUAUUCUAAUAGGGUAAUAGAUUUAGAAAUACUAUUAGCAGAAAACUUGAUGUAUUAGGCAAUACUACAUACCACAUUAGUCUAACCGCUCAACUGUAAUUUUUCAUCCAUACUUUCUUGGGAUGUAAAUAAAAUUGAUAUUAUACAAUGAAAAUAAAAUUGCCCACUAGUCUUGCUUAUUCUCUUGG